UCGAACUUUCUCUUUUUUUUUUUUUUUUUGCUCGAUGAUGAUUGAAGUUGCUUUAACCACACCGAACCUAGGGUUUGGAGGAUGGGUAUUGGAUCAGCCUUUGUUUAAGGCAAGUAGCAGCACUUGUUUGUGCUUGAUGGGCGCUUGAUGAUUCUUUUUUCUAGUGGAAUGGAGGUUCAUUGGAUCUCUGUCUUUUAGGGAGAAGAAGAAGGCUCUAUCAAGCACUUACAAGUAGUUAGUUUGCCUUGAUCAAAGAAGGAUUUGGAUUGCCCGCUUUCAAGCUCUCUCCUGUGGACAAACUUUGGCCAUUCAACUGAGAGCAAUUCCUUUUUCAUAUUUAAUUGAUCUAAUCUUCACGAUGAAAUGAAUGGUAAGUAAGAACAAACAUAGCAUUUUUCAUAAAGAUUUUCGGGGCGUAAUGUACAACUCAAUUAAGCCAGCCUUUAUCCCAAAAUUUGGGGGCGUAAUGUAAAUUUAUAAAAUGAUUAAUUUUGGAAUAAUAAAGAAAGUUUAUGUUAUUUUAUAUCAAUCAUUUAUGUUGACCUAUUAAUCAAGGUUUAAGU
rnacentral:misc_RNA from 1 species